AGGGGUAUAGCCAAGCUGGUAAGGCAAUAGAUUCUGGCUCUAUGACGCGCAGGUUCGAAUCCUGCUACCCCCGCCA
rnacentral:tRNA from 1 species